AUUGAACGCUGGCGGCAUGCCUUACACAUGCAAGUCGAACGGUAACAGGUCUUCGGAUGCUAACGAGUGGCGAACGGGUGAGUAAUACAUCGGAACGUGCCUAGUAGUGGGGGAUAACUACUCGAAAGAGUGGCUAAUACCGCAUGAGAUCUACGGAUGAAAGCAGGGGAUCGCAAGACCUUGUGCUACUAGAGCGGCCGAUGGCAGAUUAGGUAGUUGGUGGGAUAAAAGCUUACCAAGCCGACGAUCUGUAGCUGGUCUGAGAGGACGAUCAGCCAAACGGAGACUGCGACACGGCCCAGACUCCUAGGGUAGGAAGCAAUGGGGAAUUUUGGACAAUGGGCGCAAGCCUGAUCCAGUAAUGCGGCGUGCAGGAUGAAGGCCUUCGGGUUGUAAACUGCUUUUGUACGGAACGAAAAGCCCUGGGUUAAUACCCUGGGGUAAUGACGGUACCGUAAGAAUAAGCACCGGCUAACUACGUGCCAGCAGCCGCCGUAAGAC
rnacentral:rRNA from 1 species